UACAUUUGCUCAUCCAAAUAGAAGUAUACACAAUGUUGGAGAAUCCAUAAUCAUUCAUUAUAAAUAUCAUCAUCUAUAAGUCUAAAGUCAAGCAUACCUAUUAACCAUACAUCACAAUGUUUCAUCUAUACCAUAUGUUAAGGUGAUAAUCAUCACCAAACACAUCAAAAUGUAAAUUAAAAAUUCCAAAAUAUCUGAUCUUGCUAUUCCUCCAAACAACCAUCAUGUAGACAAAAAUAUUCUUAUACCAAAAAUUGGAUUUUGCUUGUAGACAACUCCACCAUGAUCAUCUGAACAAAAGCUAUCCAUGUACCAAAAACUAGAUUUCACAUGCUCAUAACUCCACCAUAUAUCGAGUAUUUGUAC